rnacentral:sRNA from 1 species
CUUAGGUUCAGAAUUUAACAUUACGCAGCCAGAAGUUGGGUGUAUUAUCUAGCUCACAGAAUGGUCCACCAAAAAGCACUAGUCAAACUCAGUCAUUGACAAUUUGUCAUAACAAAACAACAGUGACCAGUUCUAAAAUCAGCCAACGAGAUCCUUCUCCAGAAAGUAAUAAGAAAGGAGAAAGCCCAAGCCUGGAAUCACGAAGCACAGCUGUCACCCGGACAUCAAGUAUUCACCAGUUAAUAGCACCAGCUUCAUAUUCUCCAAUUCAGCCUCAUUCUCUAAUAAAACAUCAGCAGAUUCCUCUUCAUUCACCACCUUCCAAAGUUUCCCAUCAUCAGCUGAUAUUACAACAGCAGCAACAGCAAAUUCAGCCAAUCACACUUCAGAAUUCAACUCAAGACCCACCCCCAUCCCAGC